AAAGGUGUGCUAAUACCGGAUACGCUGAGAAAUCAGGAAAGGUGGCCUCUUCAUGAAAGCUACUGUAUCAGGAGGAGCUUGCGUACCAUUAGCUAGUUGGUGGGGUAAUGGCCUACCAAGGCAACGAUGGUUAGCGGGUCUGAGAGGAUGAUCCGCCACACUGGAACUGGAACACGGACCAGACUCCUACGGGAGGCAGCAGUGAGGAAUAUUGCGCAAUGGGGGCAACCCUGACGCAGCGACGCCGCGUGGAUGAUGAAGGCCUUCGGGUCGUAAAAUCCUGUCAGAUGGAAAGAAAUGUCAUAUGCCUAAUAUGUGUAUGAUUUGACGGUACCAUCAAAGGAAGCACCGGCUAACUCCGUGCCAGCAGCCGCGGUAAUACGGAGGGUGCAAGCGUUGUUCGGAAUUACUGGGCGUAAAGCGCGCGUAGGCGGCUUUUUAAGUCAGAUGUGAAAGUCCACGGCUCAACCGUGGAAGUGCAUUUGAUACUGGGAAGCUUGAGUACUGGAGGGGAUGGUGGAAUUCCCGGUGUAGAGGUGAAAUUCGUAGAUAUCGGGAGGAAUACCGGUGGCGAAGGCGACCAUCUGGCCAGAUACUGACGCUGAGGUGCGAAAGCGU
rnacentral:rRNA from 1 species